CAAGAACGUCCCGGUCUGACUAGAUGGGGUUUGUAUGUCAGUGCAAUGAGACUUAAUCCUGCUUCCUCUGAAGAAAGCCUGAUUCCCUAAUCUAGAUUUCUUUGGAAUCAACUUUUUUUGAUGAAAGCAUCAAAAAAGAUUAAUCCACAUAUCAG
rnacentral:lncRNA from 12 species